ACCAUUUACUCAAACUUUUCUGUAUAUAAAACUUUCGUUUCACGUGCAGGCUAAACUUACUUAAAGUAAAAUUUCAUACGGAAUAAAGUCGAACUUUUCAUUAAGUUUUGCUUCCGUAAUAUCGUGUUUAUCGAAUACCAACUUAAUUCACUUACGAUUCUCGAAUUUUUGUGUUGCAAUCUUUAUUGUUUUCGAUGAAUCGAAGCAUUUCGAAUAUUUUGAGAAGACCGUAAAUAGGUGACUUAAAAUAGGAAUACAAAAAUACUUCUACGUUUCUCGUUAAUUUAAAAACUUUUUAGGACUUGUCGGAAAAAAAGGAUAAAAAAUUGAAAUCAGUGCGGAAAUGAACAAGAACAUAGCUAAAAAGUCGAAAGAACAAAGCAGACAUAAAAUUCGAUCUUCCGUUGCGACAUUUCUAUCGUAAAUAGUAUAAUAAAAGUUUUACGUAGCAUAGUCUUCGAUAUAAUCUUAUAUGUCGCUUGCAGAUAGAGAAACAAAAAAUCAACGUGAGUCUGUAAAUCAAUCCUGUCGGUGUAAAACACAAAAUUACGUUCGCAAGAAACAUUCGAUUUAUAUUCCUUGCAUUUCAAUUUUCAUUACAAGAACCGUGUACAUUUUCUAAUAUUUUUUCCGUGUCUGGUAUUAUCUUUUAUCCUUGAUUUUAAAAACUUUGGGUUCUUCCCAACAGUCAAAAACACGCGAUACCCUGUCCAUCGUAAUCGUAAGAAAAGAAAAAAAGGAGAAAGAAGACAUUUCUGUAUUUCUUUACUAGGCCAUGUUGAUUAAAACCGAAAUGAUUUCGAUUCAUCUAUUCACAAGAACGCAACGGCCUCGGAAGCUGUGUUGUGAUUUCCUAUCGAUCGUUUCCCUCUACACAGUGUUCAUAUGAGCCAUGUUUGUUCUUAGCAAUGCCUUAUAAAAAGCUGCCUGUGCUGGAGGUAGACGGGAAACCGGUAGCGCAGGGUAACGCUGUGGCGCCUUACUUGGCGAGGAAGUACGAUCUAAUGGGAAACUGCAAAGGGGAUGCGCUGAUAUGCGAAGUGCUCGUCGAUACUCUUGAAGAUUUGGAGCAAGGAUCCUCCUCCAUGCGAUAGUAGCAGAUAUCUGAAACGUAUAUGAAACCAACCGUUACGUUCAUUUGUGUUUUUCCCCCCAAACGAAGAGAAAAUAAGUUGUGAAAGAAGGAGUAGCCUCUCAUAGUUCCUACAAUUUCUUCAUUCUCUUUGCUUUCUUCAAUAUUGCCUCAACAAGUUCCUGUGGUUCACGAUACUUGAAAUAUAUACAAUGUUACCAGCGUGGAAAUUGUCUUGGAAACUUGGAAAAUCUUUCAAGAGGAACAACAUUGCUAACUGAGAUUCGAGAAAGGAAAGUACCAAGAAUGUCGAGAUAUAAACAACCAUUUGUGGAAAGGUCAGGAGAAGCAGAAUUAUCGAAUAAACGUUAUAUAACUCUUAGUGAUUAAGUAAGAGAAGAGAAACGAGAAAAAAGUCUUUUAUCUAGGUCUUAACAAAGUAUACUAUAUUUAUCUCCAUAUCAAGAAUAACAACAAGAUAUAAACAGUCUUCUAGAAAUUGAACUCUUUGCAUCUUCUAUACAGGUAUCUCAUGAUCAUGUGAUAACACACAGGAAGAAAAAAUAGAGGAAAAAACAGCGUAAAAAAAAGUUGCGUACGAGUAUCGUCGCACUACAUCAUUCGACAAUUGAUGCACGUCAUGGCGAUCGUCACGGUUUAAAGCAGGCCAUCAAAAACACGUUUGUUAUCGUACGGAAAAAUCUGCGACGUUCCAGCUGUUCAGGUGCAUCGAAUUGUGAAUCAUCGGCGGUACGAAGCAAGGCGAGGGGCGUAAAUAGAGAAAGAAGAGAAGAGAAGGAUUCUCAUAAAUGAUAAAAUAUAAUCGUUCGUUCCUCGUCGAUGGCGGAUGGAUGGCUUUAAUCGUGGACGAUAUCGAUACGAUUAUAUUUUAUACAUUUGAAACAAAUAUAAAAGACGAGCAAAAAACAGAGAUACGAUCGUUAUGAUAUUAUUCAAUCGGUAGCCUAUUUACCUCGUUUUUUGUUCACCUUCUCUGUCUAGUAAUAAUUUUUCGAUUCGACUGGCGUGACGUUACGUUGGCGGUGUAAAAACACGAUUUUAAACACCUGCGGAUAGUUGCAUGAGUUUCGAGCGAUUCCAUUCCCUUCGAUUUAUAUUUAUGCGAUCAACGCGCGGAUCGUUAACGCAUUAUGCAGACAGCAGAUGUUACGUAAUCACACAUAUCGUAAUUGGAAAUUAGUAACGUUAUCGCGUACCAGGAUCUUCCUGUCUUUGAUCAUUGAGUAACACUUCGUUGUCCUCGCUCCUUCCGCGGAUAACCAGCGUUUAUCAUAUAGAGACAGGGAUUUGCAAAGAAUAAAAGUUGUAGAACGUUGAAAGGCGUUGAGAGAAACGUGAUGUUAUCCCGUUAUUCGUUAACGCAACGCAGUUAAAAAAAAUCCCGUAAGAAGAUUACGAUAAUAGAUAACCUGAGUCGAGUGUUUGUCGGGGGAUCUAAAAGAUUCUUUCGAGAUGAGCGUCUGAGAUUGCAGAGAAGAAAAUUUGGAAGCCAUCGAAUUCGUGAUGUCGAUAGAAAUCUUCAGUUGGAAUCGUUGUAUCAUAACGUAGUCUGCUUAUUGUCGAUAAGACUUUACUAAACUAAAAGUGACUACUAAAAGUUUCUAUCCUCUAAAUUCUAUCUACGAUUCUAUAAUCUAAAAACUGACUUUUGCAAACAAACUGUAACAUUCGCUUAACGGAAAGACAUACGUAUCUUGUUUGUACUCGUCUUUUCACAAUGAAUUCUUGAACGUCUGUCUCUGUGGUGAGACAAAUGCAAAGUCAUCUCAUCAGUUACUCACCUUGCUCCAAAUCUUCAAGAGUAUCGACGAGCACUUCGCAUAUCAGCGCAUCCCCUUUGCCGUUUCCCAUUAGAUCGUACUUCCUCGCCAAGUAUGGCGCCACAGCGUUACCGUGCGCUACCGGUUUCCCGUCUACCUCCAGCACAGGCAGCUUUUUAUAAGGCAUUGCUAAGAACAAACAUGGCUCAUAUGAACACUGUGUAGAGGGAAACGAUCGAUAGGAAAUCACAACACAGCUUCCGAGGCCGUUGCGUUCUUGUGAAUAGAUGAAUCGAAAUCAUUUCGGUUUUAAUCAACAUGGCCUAGUAAAGAAAUACAGAAAUGUCUUCUUUCUCCUUUUUUUCUUUUCUUACGAUUACGAUGGACAGGGUAUCGCGUGUUUUUGACUGUUGGGAAGAACCCAAAGUUUUUAAAGUCAAGGAUAAAAGAUAAUACCAGACACGGAAAAAAUAUUAGAAAAUGUACACGGUUCUUGUAAUGAAAAUUGAAAUGCAAGGAAUAUAAAUCGAAUGUCUCUUGCAAACGUAAUUUUGUGUUUUACACCGACAGGAUUGAUUUACAGACUUACGUUGAUUUUUUGUUUCUUUAUCUGCAAGCGACAUAUAAGAUUAUAUCGAAGACUAUGCUACGUAAAACUUUUAUUAUACUAUUUACGAUAGAAAUGUCGCAACGGAAGAUCGAAUUUUAUGUCUGCUUUGUUCUUUCGACUUUUUAGCUAUGUUCUUGUUCAUUUCCGCACUGAUUUCAAUUUUUUAUCCUUUUUUUCCGACAAGUCCUAAAAAGUUUUUAAAUUAACGAGAAACGUAGAAGUAUUUUUGUAUUCCUAUUUUAAGUCACCUAUUUACGGUUUUCUCAAAAUAUUAGAAAUGCUUCGAUUCAUUGAAAACAAUAAUGAUUGCAACACAAAAAUUCGAGAAUCGUAAGUGAAUUAAGUUGGUAUUCGAUAAACACGAUAUUACGGAAGCAAAACUUAAUGAACAGUUCGACUUUAUUCCGUAUGAAAUUUUACUUUAAGUAAGUUUAGCCUGCACGUGAAACGAAAGUUUUAUAUACAGAAAAGUUUGAGUAAAUGGUAGAUAUCUGAGAGUUGAACGAUGAAUGUAAAAAUCGAUUCUUCACGCUUACAAUCCUUGUAUUCAGGCCAGAGUUCUACGGGGAUCCUCUCGUCGGUAUACUCGAUGCCAAUAUAUGCAAAUAUGUACCGUAUAUGUUCGGCACUACCACGGGCAUUGAAGCAGAUUAGUUUGUAGGUAGGUUCGUCGCUCAUUUUCCUUGCUCUGUCAACUUAUCGAGAAAAAUGAUACAAUUAACUCGUGUAAUUAACAGACUGUGUGCGUGUUUGUGUGUGUAGAGAACAAUUUAUUUAUAGAUGGAAUAAUUCGUAUAAUACGCAAAAUAAAUCAUUUAGAAGGCUGGAAUAUGUGUUUUUGAAACAAUUAAUUAUGUCGAAAAAUAUUUCAAACGAGAUAUAAUUAUGAAAAAAAUAAUAAUUAAAUCUAUGUAAAUGUAUGUAAUAAUAGUUAAAUGUAUGUAAAUGUAAUAAUUAAAUGUAACUAGCUGUAAAAAAAAUAAUAAUAAAAAAUAAAUAAAUGUAAAAAAAGAAUUAAA